CAGGCGGGCUUCGGGGAGGGCCCAGUGCGGGGAACCAGGGGCCUGGGCCUCGGGGUCUCAGAAGUGCCGGCUGACAGCGAGAGAAGGCGGCCGCGACGCGCGGACACCCGCGGAGAGGAGGCGGAGACUCGGGCCGGUGCUCACAGCCACCAUGACCAGCCUCCACAGAAGCCAGACUAUGGGGCCUCCUGACUCUGAACUGUAUCCUCCAAACUGUGAGCUGAAAUAAAUGUUUUCUUUCCCAAGAAGUUCCUCUCAGAUUUUAUUUGAGAGUUAGAGCUGCAGACAGAGGGAGAGACAGAAAACUCUUCCUUCCACUGGUUCACUCCCAGAUGGCCACAACUGCUGGAGCUGCGCUGAUCUGAAGCCAGGAGCCAGGCACUUUUUCCUGGUCUCCCACGUGGGUGCAGGGGCCCAAGGACUUGAGCCAUCCUUCACUGCUUUCCCAGGCCACAGGAGAGAGCUGGGCUGGAAGUGGAACAGCCAGGACUAGAACCGGCACCCAUAUGGGAUGCCGGCACCGCAGGCAGAGGAUUAACCCACUGCACCACGACGCCGGCCCCUCCUCCAUAUUUUUUCAUAAGUUCACAAUUCAUUCCUUUUUAGCACUUAAUAUCUUGUUGUCUGAACGUACCACACUUUAUUCACCUA